ensembl:snRNA U2 U2 spliceosomal RNA
AUCUCUUCUUGGAGUUUUGGCUAAGAUCAAGUGUAGUAUCUCUUCUUAUCAGUUUAUUAUCUGAUAUAUCCUCUACCCGAGGACAAUACAUGAAAUGGAUUUUUGGAGCUAGGAGUUGGAAUAGGAGCUUGCUCUGUCCACUCCAUGCAUCGACCUAAUAUUGCAGAACUUCCAGGAAUGGUGCAUCCCCU